UACGUAGGGGGCAAGCGUUGUCCGGAUUUAUUGGGCGUAAAGAGCGUGUAGGCGGCCAGACAGGUCAGCUGUGAAAACUCGAGGCUCAACCUCGAGACGUCGGUUGAAACCGUCUGGCUAGAGUCCGGAAGAGGAGAGUGGAAUUCCCGGUGUAGCGGUGAAAUGCGCAGAUAUCGGGAAGAACACCCGUGGCGAAGGCGGCUCUCUGGGCCUUUCCUGACGCUGAGACGCGAAAGCGUGGGGAGCGAACAGG
rnacentral:rRNA from 1 species